ensembl:lncRNA
GUGUACUGCAUCUGGUGCAGCCUCCUGUUGAGCCAGACCAACAUGCAGUUGUGAGUAAUACUCCACAGAUUAUAUGAGGUUACAGUAGAACAGCAAUGUUGUUAAUUUCUUUACUACAGGAAAAUAAUGAAGAAACAUUGACAGCUGUUACAGAGGAGGAAGCAACAGAGACACUUUAUGAGAGUGAUGAUGGAAAUGAAGAGGAAGAGGGUCCAGCCACUUCUCCAACAAACCUUUCCUCACUCCCUGUAAAGCAGCUGUACAAGACCUAUUUGAUCAAGAAAAUAAAAAAAAUGCGACUUGGAAAUGGAACACUUCAAGCAGCAGAUCCAAAAGACCAAGAUUGAGAUUUUACUGCUGGAACAUCAGUUAAGGGUGGGUGAAGUGGUCAGAGAUGGACGAAUUAUUUCAGUGUUUGAACAACAUAAUAAUAUACGUAUUAAUACUUUGUGUACAGGAA